UACGUAGGUGGCGAGCGUUGUCCGGAAUUACUGGGCGUAAAGGGAGCGUAGGUGGUUUUUUAAGUGGGAUGUGAAAUCCCCGGGCUUAACCCGGGAAUUGCAUUCCAUACUGGAAGACUAGAGUGCAGGAGAGGAAAGUGGAAUUCCAAGUGUAGCGGUGAAAUGCGUAGAGAUUUGGAGGAACACCAGUGGCGAAGGCGACUUUCUGGACUGUAACUGACACUGAGGCUCGAGAGCGUGGGGAGCAAACAGG
rnacentral:rRNA from 1 species